rnacentral:rRNA from 1 species
AACGCUGGCGGUGUGCUUCACACAUGCAAGUCGAACGAGGUAGCAAUACCUAGUGGCGGACGGGUGAGUAACGCGUGGGAAUCUGCCUUUAGAUGGGGGAUAACGGGUCGAAAGACUCGCUAAUACCGCAUAUGACGAAAGUUGAAAGGAGUAAUCCGUCUAAAGAUGAGCCCGCGUCCGAUCAGCUAGUUGGUAGAGUAAAAGCCUACCAAGGCGACGAUCGGUAGCUGGUCUGAGAGGAUGAUCAGCCACAAUGGGACUGAGACACGGCCCAUACUCCUACGGGAGGCAGCAGUGGGGAAUUUUACGCAAUGGGCGAAAGCCUGACGUAGCGACACCGCGUGAGCGAAGAAGCCCCUUGGGGUGUAAAGCCCUGUCAGCUGGAACGAAAAAAUGACGGUACCAGCAGAGGAAGCAUCGGCUAACUACGUG